rnacentral:rRNA from 1 species
CACGGGGGGAGCAAGCGUUGUUCGGAAUCACUGGGCGUAAGGGCGUGUAGGCGGUCAAGUAAGUGGAAUGUGAAAGCCCCCGGCUUACCCGGGGAUCUGCAUCCCAAACUGCUUGGCUUGAGUACGGGAGAGGAUAGGGGAAUUCCUGGUGUAGCGGUGAAAUGCGUAGAUAUCAGGAGGAACACCGGUGGCGAAGGCGGCAUCCUGGACCAAUUCUGACGCUGAGUGAGCGAAAGCCAGGGGAGCAAACGGG